rnacentral:tRNA from 1 species
GGGGUUGUCGCUCAGUGGAGAGCACUCACCUAGCAUGUGUGAGGUACUGGGUUCAAUCCUCAGCACCACA